UUUGUACUUAAAAGCUUUACAUAGCUCUAGUCUUCAUGAUUAAUGCUUGGAGGUCCCUUAUUAAGUUUUAUUAAAUUUUUCUGAAGGACCAUCACACGGAAAAGGAAGCAUCUGCUUGAGCCCAGUGGGCAUAAUUAGAAGAAAUGAAUGGAAUUUUCAGUAAGGAAGAACUUCCUGCCAUUGAGAACUAUCUAAAGGUGGGAGAGGUUGUCUAUCCCUCAGAGGACUUUUAAGCAAGAAUUCUUUUUAAGGCACCAUCUUAUUAAAAGUGGAUUAGCAUAUCUGCUUCAAGACUACAAAUAAUUUGGAAAGGGAGGUUUUAUUUCAAGAAGUCUGAAAAAAUGUCUUGUGUGGGGAAGUUGGAACUGGCCUCCUCCUGAGCACAAAGGGAUAAAGGCAAUAAAACAGGUAGGAAAAACUUCAGAGAGGAGCACAGAGGAUAGAGUGCCAGCCCUGGGGAGCCAGGAGGAUCUGUGUACAAAUCUAGCCUCAGACACCUACUUAUUGCAUGACCCUGGUCUUCCUUUAGCAGUCUGAAGGUCUCUCCUCUUGAAGCUGGAAGCCAGAAGCACCUAGAAUGAUUAUAAAAGCUGAGACUUGAAGAGAGGCUCAAGCAUGAAGAGGGUUCCCCAAAACUGAAGAGCUCUUC
rnacentral:lncRNA from 1 species